GCGAGAAAAACUUUGCGAAGUGUGCGAAAGCACGACAAGGUUAAUCCGAGUGGUUUCUGGCUAAAGGAACCUUUUGCCAGUCCUAGAAACACUGGUGAAUAAGGGGUGGGCAAGUUCUGGUGUCAGCCGCCGCGGUAAAACCAGCACCUCAAGUGGCCAGGGAUGAUUAUUGGGCCUAAAGCAUCCGUAGCCUGCUUUGUAAGUUUUCGGUUAAAUCUAUUCGACUCAACGAUAGGCUGCCGGGAAUACUGCAAAGCUAGGGAGUGGGAGAGGUAGACGGUACUCGGUAAGG
rnacentral:rRNA from 1 species